UAAGUAAGAGAUAAAAACACAGUUCUGUUGGUAGUCAGAACCUAUAAUAAAUAUAUAGCAGUAACCUGCCCUCCUGGGUUGUCCGUUCUCUUAUAAGUUUUU
rnacentral:ncRNA from 1 species